rnacentral:lncRNA from 1 species
AUGAAGCCAGGAGCUAAAUACUUUAAAAGACCGGUCGGAUUGAGCCGAACUACCCCAAAGUGUGCGGUCACCAGGGCAACGUGCUCGACAUCAAGUGGAAUCCCUUCAUCGAAAACAUCAUCGCUUCGUGCUGGUCGCUCCGGCGUCUCCCGUCCGCGGGUUUCUCCCUUCCCUCGCGCCUUGCUCCUCCGGGCUCGCGGGUCGCCGUAUGGACCCGUCCGGAGGCUGCGGGGCUGCCCUGCAGCCUGGGCAGUAAUGGACCAGGGCAGCCGUAUUCAGCUGAUGUUUGCCUCCUCCUCCUCUUCGUCCGUGGGACACGAGCAAAGGCUGUAUCGUAAAGAAAGCAAGGAAAAAAAAGAAAAAGCCUUUACGCAAGGGAGGAGAUAGAAACCGUAGCCCGCUCUGCUCAGCAGAAGCAAGGGCUUGUGGCGACCCGGUUUUUAAGCAGUUACGGAUCUGCCUCACUCGCUCUCGCCGUUUCACUGCAUGGUAUCACCUAAUGUCUCAUCCUCUUCAGCAUAGUGGCAUGUUUUAUUAGCUGAAAGCUUGUCAAGGAAGCUUCUGAAGGGAAAAAAUUCAGACUGUGGCCAUGAAUCAUGGUGAGCUGUCCUCCGCUUUAAAUUGCAACCCGCUCCGUGAGGCUGUUGGAGGUGCUGGGAGAGAGGGAGGGAACGGGGACGGCUUCCCAAGCCACCACUGAUGAGCCUGGGAAGUUAACUGCCCCGCAGGCUGCCUGGUGCACCCAGGUCUCUUCUCCCUUUCAUCUCCAGAGUCGUGGAAGUGCUGGUGGGAAGAGACUCCUGGAGGUCUCUGCUCCAGCCUCCCCCUACAGCCGGAGCAUCACCAGCCCGAGAUGAGCAUGGUCUUGUCUAGCUGAGUCUUGAAACCUCCAGGGACGGAGGUCCCCCACCUCGCUGGGGACCUGUGCAGGGCUGCGCUGCUCUCUAGUGACGAAGGGUUUCCUAAGGUCCAGCCUGAGCCUCCAGGCUGCAGCCCGUGGCCGUUGCCCAUCACGCUAGCGUCAGGCAGUGCUGGGAGGAGUUUGGCUCCGUCUCCCUUGCAACCUCCUUCACAUGCUGCAUGCCGCGAUUAGAUCCCUCUUUUUUUAGCCUCCUCUUCGUCAGGCUAAACCAGCCCAGCUCUCUCGGCCCCUUCUUGGAGGUUGACUCCGUCGUGGUAGCCCUUGGCUUGAUCUCUUCCAGUUUCUCCCCGUCUCCCUUGGACUGGGGUCCCAAAGCUGGAGAUGCUAUUCCAGGUAGAAGGGGGAACGGCUUUGCCCAGGUCGCCGGCCGUGCUCCUCCUAACGGAGGUGGGUUGCCUCUGCAAUGAGCGCGUGCGGUUGGCUCGGAUUCACCGUAUCGUCUCCCAGCGCCAUGCGCUGGGUUUU